UACGUAGGGGGCUAGCGUUGUCCGGAAUCAUUGGGCGUAAAGAGCGUGUAGGCGGCCCGGUAAGUCCGCUGUAAAAGUCAAAGGCUCAACCUUUGAAUGUCAGUGGAUACUGCCGGGCUAGAGUCCGGAAGAGGCGAGUGGAACUCCUGGUGUAGCGGUGGAAUGCGCAGAUAGUCAGGAAGAACACCAACGGCGAAGGCAGCUCGCUGGGACGGUACUGACGCUGAGACGCGAAAGCGUGGGGAGCGAACAGG
rnacentral:rRNA from 1 species